GCAAUUUAGGAAGGGGCAGAAGGGUAGUUCACAAGACUACCACAAGAGGGCAUGCUGGCCAAGACUUUGAGUCUGUAGCGGGUCCGUGGCUUUUUGAAAAAGGAGCAAGAGGGGGACUUCCCUGUAAAGGAACAUGCCUCUGUACACUGUAAGAUGUGUCUAUUCUGCUUCUAACUUUCACCUUGUUUUGUUUCUUAGUUUUAACAGUUUUAUGUUAUUUAUUUGAGGGGGUAGGAGAGAAAGAGAGCAAGCUCCAAUUUGCUGAUCUGCUGGUUAAGCCCCCAAAUGCCUGCAUUAGAGAGGGAUGGGGACCUGGGACUCAUGCUCAGAAAUGAGGACUCCAUCCAGAUCUCUCGAGCAGGUAGCGUGACCCAGUUUCUUACGCCAGCACCACUGCCUCCUGAAGUUCGUAUUCUCAGGGAGCUACAGCAGGAGUUGGUAUCAUACCCAGGAACUCUGAUGUGGGGCACAGUGGAAACUAAAAUUCCUGCUAUUCCAAGAGGAAGAAGCAGGAGGAAAUACUUGUUUGAACUUGAAGAAGACA
rnacentral:lncRNA from 1 species